GCCAGGCAUGGUGGCGUGCACCUGUAAUCCCAGCUACUUAGGAGGCUGAGACAGGAGAAUUGCUUGAGCCCAGGAGGCAGAGGUUGCAGUGAGCCAAGAUCUUGCCACUGCACUCCAGCCUGGGCGACAGAGCAAGACUCCGUCUCAA
rnacentral:SRP_RNA from 1 species